CUUGCAAAUAUCAUUAAUAGGUUAACAUACCCUUCUGAACAUGUCAUCAUGUCAGCCUCUCUGUCAUUUUAAGAUGGAGCAGCGUCUGUCUCCAAGUCUCUCCUCUGUGUCUUAACAUUUAAAAGUACACCUAUUUAUACCUUAGGUGUCUCCAUUUUAGGGUUACCGUAGUUCAUAUAUGAAAAAGUAACACUUCUUUUACUUUAUUCAAUUUAGGACCUCCCUUAAUUUGGC